CGUAACACGUAUGUAACCUACCUUCUUCAGGGGGAUAGCCUCUCGAAAGAGAGAUUAAGACCGCAUAACAUCAUUGAAUAGCAUUAUUUAAUGAUCAAAUAUUUAUAGGGUAAAGAUGGGCAUGCGGAACAUUAGCUAGUUGGUAAGGUAAUGGCUUACCAAGGCUACGAUGUUUAGGGGAUCUGAGAGGAUGACCCCCCACACUGGUACUGAGAUACGGACCAG
rnacentral:rRNA from 1 species